rnacentral:rRNA from 1 species
AUGGCAGCAAGCUUAGCCACCACCCCUGCAGCUGCCAAGGUGAUGCCAUCUGCAGCACCAAUUGUCAGUCAAACAGUAAGGAAGUCACUGUCAUACAAGGAAGUGGCAAUAGCUGCACCAGGAACUCUUGCCAAAGCGUUGAAUGAUGUGCAUACAAAGCAAAAGGAUGCAACUGAUCCAGCUGUAAAUCUUGAAAGUGCCAAGGCUCCCAAAGAAAGCAAUGUUCGCCCUUCUGAAGAGAAAAAUGGGGCAAUACAAGUGUCACCAAAGGAUAAUAAUUUGCAAGUAUCAAAAGCAACUGAUGAGCACAAAUCUCCCAGUUCUGAUACUGAACAAGCCAAUGGUUCGGUAGGAUCAAAUCAAGCUGAGAAGGCCUCAGAUUCAGCAGAGACAUCUACAGAGAAGAACCAAUCACCAGCAGCACUAGCGGACCUCCCAAAUGAAGAAGCAGCAACUUUGACUGAGGCAAAUGAUUCUUCCUCCAAUGAUGAUGAAAGAGGUCCAGGAGAGGAUAAUCAAGAACAGCUGUCUAGUGGGGCCGAAAAUGAGAAAUCUUCACCAUCUGGAAGUGAAAAGAAUGAUUCACCAGUAGAAGGUGCGAAAGAGACAGCCAGUAAACUUAAUGCUGCCGCUGCUCCAUUCAGUCCAGCCACCGUGCCAGCUUUUGGUUCAAUGGUCGUACCAGGUUUCAGAGAACACGCGGGACUAUUGCCAUCGCCAGCCAAUGUGCCCCCAAUGCUGGCCAUCCCUCUCCGUAAGCACCCUCACCAGUCUGCAACUGCAAGGGUCCCUUGUGGUCCACGUCUAGCCGGAGGGUUCAACAGAUCAGGGCACCGAGUGCCUCGUAACAAGCCUGUGUUGCCGAGUGGUGAAGUUCUUCCAGAGGCAGCCACAUCCCCUAAAGUGAUGAAUCCUCAUGCAGCGGAGUUUGUGCCGGGUCAAUCUCGUAGUCCUGAUGGCCAUCCAUCAUCUCCUAAUGAACCUCUGGCAUCGCCAGCUGGUAUUCAAGCAUCACAGGAUGGGCUUCCAUCAUCUCCAGAUAGUACUGUCGAGUCACCCAAGACUGCUUCCCCACAAGUGUCUGAAACUAGUGAGACUAGUCCUGAAGGAAAUGAUACAUCUAGUGGAAUUGAUGUUGAAGCUGAGGCUGAGAGCAAGAACACAGAGGAGAAGAACAACCAUGUGGAAUGUGAGGACAGUGAAGUGAAGCCUGAUGAAACUAUAGUUUCUGGAGGUGCUGAAGUUGAUGCAACAGCCCCAAUAGAUGCUCAAUAUGAUGCUUCAGCCCCAAAAUAUGCUCCAGAUGAUUCAAGCGUGACUGAAAAGCCAAAGUCCUGGGCUGAUUACAGUGAUGGAGAAGUCGAGGCCGUUCAGGUUGCGAGCUGA